UACGUAGGGUGCAAGCGUUAAUCGGAAUUACUGGGCGUAAAGCGUGCGCAGGCGGUUUUGUAAGUCAGAUGUGAAAUCCCCGGGCUUAACCUGGGAACUGCGUUUGAAACUACAAGGCUAGAGUGUGGCAGAGGGGGGUGGAAUUCCACGUGUAGCAGUGAAAUGCGUAGAGAUGUGGAGGAACACCGAUGGCGAAGGCAGCCCCCUGGGUUAACACUGACGCUCAGGCACGAAAGCGUGGGGAGCAAACAGG
rnacentral:rRNA from 2 species